rnacentral:rRNA from 1 species
UACGGAGGGUGCGAGCGUUAAUCGGAAUUACUGGGCGUAAAGCGCACGCAGGCGGUUUGUUAAGCUAGAUGUGAAAGCCCCGGGCUCAACCUGGGAUGGUCAUUUAGAACUGGCAGACUAGAGUCUUGGAGGGGGGAGUGGAAUUCCAGGUGUAGCGGUGAAAUGCGUAGAUAUCUGGAGGAACAUCAGUGGCGAAGGCGACUCCCUGGCCAAAGACUGACGCUCAUGUGCGAAAGUGUGGGUAGCGAACAGG